UUGAUUGUCUAGCCCGUUGGAUAACCGUGGGAAAUCUAGAGCUAAUACAUGUAGUUAAUUGGUGGUGUAGUAUUUAUAUUGCACCACCAAUGCAUUUAUUAGAUGAAGCCAACUGCUUGUUGGGGGUGCAAAUCUCCAACUUGUAAGGUGAUUCUAGAUAACUGUGCAGAUCGUAUGGCCUUGUGCUGACGACGUUUCAAUUGAAUUUCUGCCCUAUCAACUAGUUGGUAAGGUAGAGGCUAACCAAGGUUGUGACGGGUAACGGGGAAUCAGGGUUCGAUUCCGGAGAGGGAGCUUGAGAAUUGGCUACCACAUCCAAGGAAGGCAGCAGGCGCGCAAAUUACCCAAUUCAGACAGUGAGAGGUGGUGACGAGAAUUACCAAGUGGUGACCAUAAGGUUGCCAAUUUGGAAUGAACGUAAUUUAAGAAAUUCGAUGAGUAACAACUGGAGGGCAAGUCCGGUGCCAGCAGCCGCGGUAAUUCCGGCUCCAGUAGCGUAUUUUAAAAUUGUUGCGCUUAAAACGCUCGUAGUUGGAUGACACAGUCAUGAUCAGUUGAUUGUCAUGGUUAUACAUUAAACUUUGACUCUCUACUGUAGAUGUCUAACGACGUAUAUGGUGUUGAGUUGAAAGUAUAACUAUGGCAAUUGUGUGCUGAAUGUGACUAGUUGCACGUGAGGAUGAUGGUUGACCUUUAGUGCGUUGACUGUUAUGUCUCACGGAGUGUGCCUUGAAUAAAUCAGAGUGCUCAAAGCAGGCUUUAAGCUUGAAUGUUAAUAGCAUGGAACGAACAAACGUGUUUAUGUAUAAUAUAAUUGAUUUUGAUUUGUCUAUGAUAGAUUAUUAUGUUUUUGUGUUGUACUGCACCAACCACCAAUAACGGACGUUGGUUCCGUAUUGGGGUGAUGAUUAAAAAGAGCGGUUGGGGGCAUUGGUAUUUGUCCGCGAGAGGUGAAAUUCUUGGACCGGACAAGGACUAACAAAUGCGAAGGCAUUUGCCUAGACCGUCUCUAUUAAUCAAGAACGAUAGAGGAAGGAUCGAAGAGGAUCAGAUACCCUCGUAGUUUCCUCCGUAAACUAUGCCAACCCGGGAUGAGUUUAGAGCUAAUUAUAACGCUCUAGGUUGGUCCCCCUGGGAAACCUGAAGUUUUUCGGUUGCGGGGGGAGUAUGGUUGCAAAGCUGAAACUUAAAGGAAUUGACGGAAGGGCACCACCAGGAGUGGAGCCUGCGGCUUAAUUUGACUCAACACGGGAAAACUUACUCGGUUCGGACAUUGACAGGAUAAACAGUUUGAUAGAACUUUUUGAUACGGUGAAUGGUGU
rnacentral:rRNA from 1 species